AAGAAAUUGUGAUUUUAAACAAGAAACCUCUAAGAACUUUUUUCCUCAUUUCGGAUUCCACUUUUGUCAGGAGAAACAUGGACGACAAUUACCAGCCAUAAGUACAACAGGAACAAGAAACUUGUAUGAUGAACAGGGAAUGGAUGUAGGAGCACUGUUGGCAUCUUCUAUGAGGUCACACUACUCCCUCAGAGACUUGCUGUGAAGGAUAUAUAAGCUGUGGUAUCUACAGAGCUGCCCAUAUGACAAGCUGUCCAUCUGUUCGAUUUUGACCUGUGCCUACCAGGGAUGUUUGAAUUGUAACAGACUUUCUACUGGACCUGUGGUGCAGAAUUUCUUAAUGAAUUGAGUCAAAAUUUCUUGCACAUGGGGUGUUAUGUUCUCUUUGUACAGAUGUAUCAAGGCAUGCUGAUGAGUGCUUAACUGAGACAUAGUUUGGCCCUUAGAUGUUUGCAGAGCUCCCUUCAGAGCCUAAAUACCCAGCUUUUAGCCAGCACAACACAGGAAGUCAAGCAUGUCUGGGACAAAUCCAGGAUCAUCUCUAGCCCCUAUUUGUAGCAGUAAGUAGCAGAAAGAUAGCCAUGAUGAUGACUUGUCUUGCAGUCUGAGGAACCAAAGUUAGUCAAAACCCUGAAGGAGAAGAGCCACCUCUAACAAUAUAUCAGAGCAAUCAAGAUGCUAGAGUGAGGUGGUGUUACUGGUAGUUGUGAAUUCAACAGAGAGAAGCUAUGCUCCUUUGAUAAAACAAUUUAAUGUUCAAAGGAGGUUCAGUUAAUAACUGAAAUACUCCCAUUAAA